AGCGGUAAGAUUAUAUUUAAGGUAAUGCCUGCCCAGUGCUAAAGUGUUAACGGCCGCAGUACCUUGACUGUGCUAAGGUAGCAUAAUCAGUUGGCUUUUAAAUGGAGUCGGGAAUGAAUGGAUUUAUAGGGUAAAGCUGUCUCUUUUAUAUUUUAUUGAAUUUAAUUAUUAGGUGAAAAUACCUAAAAUUAAGAAAAAAGACGAGAAGACCCUAGGAGUUUUUACUAAUGGUCAAUUUAGGUUGGCUUCUGGUUUUUGUUGGGGCGACAUAGGAACAAACAACUUCCUUAUUUUAUAGGCCGACUACGUAUGAAUAAUUAAACUACCCUAGGGAUAACAGCGUAAUUCUUUAUGGAGCUUGCGACCUCGAUGUUGGACUAGGAAUUUGAUUGGCUAGCCGCCACUUUAUAUUGUUCUGUUCGAACUUAAUUUCCU
rnacentral:rRNA from 1 species